CUAAAACCCCUUGACAAGCUACAGACACAACUCCUUGACCCAUUAACAUAAGCAUACAUUGGCUCUAUCGCAGAGGUGGGGUCAUCCCUUACUCAAGAUUAGAUUCAUGGGAAUGUCUACUCACCUUGGCUGGUGCCCAGACAAACUCUUCUGGGAUAGAGGUCAGGAGGUAGCAACUUCCCAAGCCACGCAGCACUUGCCUGGUCCCAAGUGUUAGCAGUAAUAUGUGCCAAAGGCAGACUCUGCUGCUUCCUCCACCAGGUAAAAGGCUACAGAGAUGGCUCAUGGAUGAAGAACUUCUGUCAAAGCUUGAGGAAAAAGGCAGGUUCAGCACUCAGAGGCCAACUGAGGUGCUGGGUAUGAAUGGUGACAUAUGCAGCUCUUUACUGGAAACUAUAGAAGGCUCUCAAGUUUGAGGCCUGCCUGGGCUGCAUAGAAGCUUGAAAACAACAGCAACAACAACAAAAAGACCAAGACAAGCCCAGUGCUCAGUGGCUCAGUUGCAGAAGACCCCACGGGUGCUGCAAGAGACCAGCUGGAACGGCUCGAGGACCGCCCGGGUCAGAGAGUACUUGGGCAGUGUGGAGCUGCUGAGAUGAAAGUAUCCCACAGUGCCAUGGGCCUAUGGGUGCCAGCGCUAGCCCAGGAUAAAAAGCUUCCUUGUGCCGGUUUGUCAAACCUGGUCUGUGGUUUCCACUGGAACUGGAGAUGAGUUUGCCUCCUUGAUGGACUCCAAACCCUUCAACACCUGGUGGCCUGACUUCACUUUCAACCUGUGCCAGCAGGCAGCAGGACUUGACUGCUGGGACAUCCCCACCCAUGAUGGGAGCACUGGCGGAAGCAAACUGCACAUAUGGGAGAAAGAGGGCUCUGGGCUGGGGUUAGGGGGUGGGCUGUAGGAUGUGCAUUCCCUGCACAGAUAUCGCCUGCAGGAGACCCCACUUAAGUUUGCCCUCGAGAUGGAAGAAGCCGGGCAGAAGUUCACCGAUGUGGGGGUCCAGACUAGUUUUAUUGACCAGCCUGGGAAUGCCACACUACAGGAGACACCUACUGGAACCCCUCCUCUUCUUGGGACUUGAUCAUGGAAAAAAAUUAUACUAUAGGGGGACCCUAUCUGGGGGACCAAGGGUAUUGGGAUACUCCCUGGGCAAACACCACCUGUAACCCAAUAAUAAUCAGAUUCACUCAGAAAGGCAAAGAAGCAACAGGAUGGCUAAAGGGAAAAACUUGGGGACUCAGGUUGUACAAAUUGGGGUAUGAUGAUGGCCAAGGUGAGAAAAGGGAUAGCCAAACAGAAAAAGAGAAAGAGAGCAGUCAGAGCUGGUUCGAGUCUUGGUUUAACUCGUCUCCUUGGCUAACCACCCUCAUAUCCACCUUGUUAAGACCCCCUCUUUGUUCUGCUAUUGUUGACCUUUGGACCCCGCAUAUUGAACAAGUUUAUAGCCUUCAUAAAAGAGAGAAUGGGGAGCAGUGCAGCUGAUGGUCCUGCACCAAUAAUAUGAGACCCUGAGGACAGGACCUGAAGAAUAUGAGUUAGUCAUCAGAGGCCCCUGAGUGUAGCUCCAAGAUUAGAGCUUGUACAAGAAAAAGGGACCCUUAGGGCUUUCACCAGCCUUACACCCACCUGCCUUGGGACAAGGCUAGGCCAAGUUCCAUUGUCCACCCACAGGAAUAUUCUUCAGUAAAAAAAGUUCUCAGAAUGUACUGACCAAUGCUUGCUAGCCAAUAGAUUUAAAGGUCAAUAUGAUUAGCCAAUAAGUUUAAACUGUAACCUUACUGAUAUAACCUGUGCUCCUGAAAAGUAUAAAAACUGCUUGCUAGAGUCAUUCGGGAUCACCUUCUAGUCACUCGACACGAGGGACUGAUUGAAGGUUGACCCCGACACACCAGAAAAUAAACCUCUUUUACAUCGAUCUGCUUCUUGGUGUCUCACUCAUGGGUGUCUUGAAGUAAGUACCACUGACCGAGGGUUGAGGUCUUACGGCAUGACAAUAUAUGGCUGAAUCACAGCAUUUGAGAGGAAGAUUGGGAAUUCAAGGUCCUCCUCUGCUUCUUAGUGAGUUCAAGGCUAACUUGACCUUCUUGUGACCCUGACUCAAAAACAAACAGGCCUGCCAGAGUCGG
ensembl:lncRNA